rnacentral:rRNA from 1 species
AGCAGCCGCGGUAAUUCCAGCUCCAAUAGCGUAUAUUAAAGUUGUUGCAGUUAAAAAGCUCGUAGUUGAAUUUCGGGGUUAGUAGGUUGGUCAUGCCUCUGGUAUGUACUGGUCUCACUGAUUCCUCCUUCCUGAUGAACCGUAAUGCCAUUAAUUUGGUGUUGCGGGGAAUUUGGACUGUUACUUUGAAAAAAUUAGAGUGUUUAAAGCAAGCUAACGCUUGAAUACAUUAGCAUGGAAUAAUGAAAUAGGACGUUCGAUCUUAUUUUGUUGGUUUCUAGGAUUGACGUAAUGAUUAAUAGGGAUAGUUGGGGGCAUUAGUAUUCAAUUGUCAGAGGUGAAAUUCUUGGAUUUAUUGAAGACUAACUACUGCGAAAGCAUUUGCCAAGGAUGUUUUCAUUAAUCAAGAACGAAAGUUAGGGGAUCGAAGACGAUCAGAUACCGUCGUAG